CGGUGGAGCAUGUGGUUUAAUUCGAAAGCAAACGCGCAGAACCUUACCAGCCUCUGACAUCCUAGGACGGUUUCUGGAGACAGACUCCUUCCCUUCGGGGACCUAGUGACAGGUGCUGCAUGGCUGUCGUCAGCUCGUGUCGUGAGAUGUUGGGUUAAGUCCCGCAACGAGCGCAACCCUCGUCCUUAGUUGCCAUCAUUUAGUUGGGCACUUUAAGGAAACUGCCGGUGAUAAGCCGGAGGAAGGUGGGGAUGACGUCAAGUCCUCAUGGCCCUUACAGGCUGGGCUACACACGUGCUACAAUGGCAUCUACAGUGAGCAGCGAUCCCGCGAGGGUUAGCUAAUCUCCAAAAGAUGUCUCAGUUCGGAUUGUUCUCUGCAACUCGAGAGCAUGAAGGCGGAAUCGCUAGUAAUCGCGGAUCAGCAUGCCGCGGUGAAUACGUUCCCAGGCCUUGUACAC
rnacentral:rRNA from 1 species